rnacentral:rRNA from 1 species
UACGAACUGUGCGAACGUUAUUCGGAAUCACUGGGCUUACAGGGUGCGUAGGCGGCUAUUCAGGUCAGGCGUGAAAGCCCCGGGCUCAACCUGGGAACCGCGCUUGAGACUGGCAUGCUCGAGUUCGGGAGAGGAUGGUGGAAUUCCCAGUGUAGAGGUGAAAUUCGUAGAUAUUGGGAAGAACACCGAUGGCGAAGGCAGCCAUCUGGACCGACACUGACGCUGAGGCGCGAAAGCGUGGGGAGCAAACAGG